UAGGGAAUCUUCGGCAAUGGACGAAAGUCUGACCGAGCAACGCCGCGUGAGUGAAGAAGGUUUUCGGAUCGUAAAACUCUGUUGUUAGAGAAGAACAAGGACGUUAGUAACUGAACGUCCCCUGACGGUAUCUAACCAGAAAGCCACGGCUAACUACGUGCCAGCAGCCGCGGUAAUACGUAGGUGGCAAGCGUUGUCCGGAUUUAUUGGGCGUAAAGGGCUUGUAGGCGGCUUGUUGCGCCUGCUGUGAAAACGCGGGGCUUAACUUCGCGCGUGCAGUGGGUACGGGCAGGCUUGAGUGUGGUAGGGGUGACUGGAAUUCCAGGUGUAGCGGUGGAAUGCGCAGAUAUCUGGAGGAACACCGAUGGCGAAGGCAGGUCACUGGGCCAUUACUGACGCUGAGGAGCGAAAGCAUGGGUAGCGAACAGG
rnacentral:rRNA from 1 species